rnacentral:lncRNA from 1 species
CAGGACAUACUUUAUUCAGCUGGGUGCUGAAAAACAAUCUUGGAAAUUAGGAAACUGAAUGAGGCCUCAUUUCACACUCAGAAUGUGGGUUGCAGUAGUCACUUCCUCUGCUGCUGGGAAAGAAAGAAUUAUACUACCUUUUGAAUUUUGGAUUAAGGAGACAGGUGUUGGCUUGUCAAACUACCGUGUAUUCCUCAAGACAUAUUUUUGUGGCUUUAUAAAAUUCAAUAUAUAUUUCUAAAUUCAAAUAUAUUUUGUUGCAAUCUGGCCCUUGGACAAAAUGAGGCCCUGGCAACUGAUAUUUAUGGCUUCCCAUAGAACCUUUCAGAUAAAAUUUACACAGCAUUUUACUGCAGCUAUUUCACAUAAAGCAGAGGAUUUUGCCACAAAACUGAAAGAAAAAAGAAACUGCAUUCUUAAAUUUUUUAUAAAUCAAAAGGUAUAAAAAUAUCUACCUAAACGAUAAAGGAGAUGAGAAACCCACCCGUGAUGGGAAGAAAGCCUAUUUCAGUUUUGCCUUUACUUCAAGUUCUUUUUUCCCUAUCUGGAAUGCAAUCGGAAUUUUAAUCUUGCCUUGGGUUCCUCCUGGAUUUGGGGAGAAGAAAAAAUCUGAAAAUCUCAAAUCUGCAUGUGUUCCGCUGCAUAUCUUCCAGAUACGGAAGGAUCACACUGCACAGAGUGCUGUACUUGCAGGAGCCCCGCUUCUCAACCUCCAUUGCUUUAUGAAUGAAUUCACCGGAAAGAAAAGGAAGAAUCAACACUUUCAGAGAUGGAGACUAUUGAGCCACCGUAUCAACUAGUCGAUGCUGAAUCCGACUUCUCCCUUUCUACAUUGCCUGAGAGAAGUCUUGGGGAAUACUCUAGAGUCAAGGGAUUGGAUUGUGGAUUGCAUUGGUGGUUUUCCUCAGUUUCCUCAUCUUCUCCCCAAGUUUCUACAUAUUGAAUGCAGAGCAGCCCUUCUUCAAAGGACCUCCUACUGAACCUGCUAAGGAACUCAGUCUGUAGCUCUGCGUGGAGCCAUGUGUAAACACUGAACUGAGGCCUGCCACCUCCUACUACCUAAGGGCCCCUUUUCAUCUGAGAUCAUCCCCCAGAAACAAACUCAUGCUGACUUUCAUGUUUUUUUAGAUUACAUACAUGGAGAAUUUUCCUUUCCCUUAGAAUUAAAAUCCUGCAUUCUAAUUUUCA